rnacentral:rRNA from 1 species
CUACUGACGCUAAAGCUCGAAGGUGCGGGUAUCGAACAGGAUUAGAUACCCUGGUAGUCCGCACGGUAAACGAUGGAUGCCCGCUGUUGGCGACACACUGUCAGCGGCCAAGCGAAAGCGUUAAGCAUCCCACCUGGGGAGUACGCCGGCAACGGUGAAACUCAAAGGAAUUGACGGGGGCCCGCACAAGCGGAGGAACAUGUGGUUUAAUUCGAUGAUACGCGAGGAACCUUACCCGGGCUUGAACUGCACAGGAAGGAUACAGAGAUGUUGACGCCCUUCGGGGCCUGUGUGGAGGUGCUGCAUGGUUGUCGUCAGCUCGUGCCGUGAGGUGUCGGCUUAAGUGCCAUAACGAGCGCAACCCUUUUCCUUAGUUGCCAUCAGGUAGAGCUGGGCACUCUGGGGAUACUGCCACCGUAAGGUGUGAGGAAGGUGGGGAUGACGUCAAAUCAGCACGGCCCUUACGGCCGGGGCUACACACGUGUUACAAUGGGGGGUACAGAAAGUUAGUCCAAUGCAAAUUGGAUUCAAUCCUAAAAGCCCUCCUCAGUUCGGAUUGGGGUCUGCAACCCGACCCCAUGAAGCUGGAUUCGCUAGUAA